rnacentral:rRNA from 1 species
GUCCAGACUCCUACGGAGGCAGCAGUGGGGGAUAUUGCACAAUGGGCGCAAGCCUGAUGCAGCGACGCCGCGUGAGCGAAGAAGUAUUUCGGUAUGUAAAGCUCUAUCAGCAGGGAAGAAAAUGACGGUACCUGACUAAGAAGCUCCGGCUAAAUACGUGCCAGCAGCCGCGGUAGUACGUAGGUGGCAAGCGUUAUCCGGAUUUACUGGGUGUAAAGGGCGUGUAGGCGGGACUGCAAGUCAGAUGUGAAAACCACGGGCUCAACCUGUGGCCUGCAUUUGAAACUGUAGUUCUUGAGUACUGGAGAGGCAGACGGAAUUCCUAGUGUAGCGGUGAAAUGCGUAGAUAUUAGGAGGAACACCAGUGGCGAAGGCGGUCUGCUGGACAGCAACUGACGCUGAGGCGCGAAAGCGUGGGGAGCAAACAGGAUUAGAUACCCGAGUA